rnacentral:lncRNA from 1 species
UGGCAUCGUUAGAAUGCUACAAUUAAUGAGAACAUAGAGAGAGAUACAUACGUUUGUUGUCGAUGUCAUCAGGGUUUUGCGGAACCGGCAGGGAAGUUCCAUUGGAGCAGAAAAGUUUUGGUCACAAAGGAGUUGAAGCGGCGGGUGUAGGGGUGGAGUGAAGAAGGUUACUUGUGAACUCAAUACUCUCUGUAAUUUCCCAACUAUCCCUGACCUAACUCGCUAGAAAAACAAGACCACACACAUUUUCGAAAAUUUCAAAUGGUUGACAAUUUCUAGAAUACUUCAGAACUUGUGCUUUUUCACAAUUUAUUAUCGUUUCCUUUUUCACUUUCUU